GUGUCAGCAGCCGCGGUAAUACGAAGGGGGCUAGCGUUGCUCGGAAUUACUGGGCGUAAAGCGCACGUAGGCGGAUUCUUAAGUCGGGGGUGAAAUCCCGGAGCUCAACUCCGGAACUGCCUUCGAUACUGAGAAUCUCGAGUCCGGGAGAGGUGAGUGGAACUCCGAGUGUAGAGGUGAAAUUCGUAGAUAUUCGGAAGAACACCAGUGGCGAAGGCGGCUCACUGGCCCGGUACUGACGCUGAGGUGCGAAAGCGUGGGGAGCAAACAGGAUUAGAUACCCUAGUAGUCC
rnacentral:rRNA from 1 species